CGGGGUGUAGCGCAGUUUGGUAGCGCGCCUGCUUUGGGAGCAGGAGGCCCCGGGUUCAAAUCCCGGCACCCCGA
rnacentral:tRNA from 1 species